CUACGGGGUGCUGCAGUGGGGAAUAUUGCACAAUGGAGGAAACUCUGAUGCAGCAACGCCGCGUGGAGGAUGACACUUUUCGGAGCGUAAACUCCUUUUGUAUAGGAAGAAGAUGACGGUACUAUAUGAAUAAGCGCCGGCUAACUCCGUGCCAGCAGCCGCGGUAAUACGGAGGGCGCAAGCGUUACUCGGAAUCACUGGGCGUAAAGAGCGUGUAGGCGGAUGAAAAAGUCAGAAGUGAAAUCCUAUAGCUUAACUAUAGAACUGCUUCUGAAACUCUUAAUCUAGAAUAUGGGAGAGGUAGAUGGAAUUUCUGGUGUAGGGGUAAAAUCCGUAGAGAUCAGAAGGAAUACCGAUUGCGAAGGCGAUCUACUAGAACAUUAUUGACGCUGAGACGCGAAAGCGUGGGGAGCAAACAGGAUUAGAUACCCCAGUAGUC
rnacentral:rRNA from 1 species